CGUUUUAGGAGCACACUGGGAGUCUCGACACACCAACAAAAUUCUAGAGGUCUCUCUUAUCAACUGAUAAAACCCAUUCUCAAACUGAAAUUCAUUGCUCCUAGGGUUUUAUUCUAUCUUCUACCCUCCUUCUCCAACAACUCCAUUUCCGACCAAAUAUCAUAGCAUCACUCAACUCUUAAUCCCUCCAAAUCCCAAAGUCAAAGGUCCAGAAAUGGCUACAGCUCAGCUCACAGCAUCCUCAGUUUCGGUUUCAGUCAGGAACUUGUCUUUUGAAGGGUUAAGACCUUCCACAGUCAAGUUUGCAUAUUUCGGUACUUUGAAGGCAGAUGGUGUAUCCCAACGGUUUCUACGGGGCUUGGUCGUGAAAGCUGCUACUGUGGUUGCCCCUAAGUACACUUCGAUUAAGCCCUUGGGUGAUAGGGUGCUUGUGAAGAUUAAGGUUGCAGAGGAGAAGACAGAUGGUGGAAUCUUACUUCCAACCUCUGUUCAAAGUAAGCCUCAAGGAGGUGAGGUGGUUGCUGUUGGAGAGGGAAGAACGGUUGGGAAGAACAAAUUGGACAUUUCCAUCAAGACUGGCACCCAGGUUGUUUAUUCCAAGUAUGCUGGAACUGAGGUGGAGUUCAAUGGUUCAGGUCAUCUUAUAUUGAAGGAGGAUGAUAUU
rnacentral:misc_RNA from 1 species